GUAGUCAUAUGCUUGUCUCAAAGAUUAAGCCAUGCAUGUCUAAGCACAAGCCGAUUAAUGGUGAAGCCGCGAAUGGCUCAUUACAACAGCCACUGUUUACUUGAUCUUGACUAUCCUACUUGGAUAACUGUGGUAAUUCUAGAGCUAAUACACGCAAAAAAGCUCCGACCUUACGGGACGAGCGCAUUUAUUAGACCAAAACCAAUCGGGCUUCGGCCUGAAACGUUGGUGACUCUGAAUAACUGAGCUGAUCGCAUGGUCUCGUACCGGCGACGUAUCAUUCAAGUGUCUGCCUUAUCAACUUUCGAUGGUAGUUUAUGUGCCUACCAUGGUUGUUACGGGUAACGGAGAAUAAGGGUUCGACUCCGGAGAGGGAGCCUGAGAAACGGCUACCACAUCCAAGGAAGGCAGCAGGCGCGCAAAUUACCCACUCUCGGCACGAGGAGGUAGUGACGAAAAAUAACGAGGCGGUUCUCUAUGAGGCCCGCUAUCGGAAUGAGUACAAUUUAAACCCUUUAACGAGGACCUAUGAGAGGGCAAGUCUGGUGCCAGCAGCC
rnacentral:rRNA from 1 species